UACGUAGGGUGCGAGCGUUAAUCGGAAUUACUGGGCGUAAAGCGUGCGCAGGCGGUUUGUUAAGACAGAUGUGAAAUCCCCGGGCUUAACCUGGGAACUGCGUUUGUUACUGGCAAGCUAGAGUGUGUCAGAGGGAGGUAGAAUUCCACGUGUAGCAGUGAAAUGCGUAGACAUGUGGAGGAAUACCGAUGGCGAAGGCAGCCUCCUGGGAUAACACUGACGCUCAUGCACGAAAGCGUGGGGAGCAAACAGG
rnacentral:rRNA from 1 species